CGACGGUGGAAAAACCGGCUGCGAAGCGAGCGACGUCGGCGCACACAGCGCCGCGUGGUGUCGGCGAGCGCAGUUAGCGCUUUCAGCUGACGGGGAUGGCUUUGCGAUGAAGCGGCGUAGAGCUCCGUUAAACUACUCCGCGUUUUGGACUGCGCUGUGUUCCGUCAGUUCUUGCUCUUAAUUGUUCGAGGCCACUGCUGCACACCAAUUGGCGCAUAUGGUGGAAGGGCCAGCGCUAGAUGAUUAUGCCAGGUGCCAGAUGAUUUGGGAGACCCGCGCACGCACAAAUCUUCGGGCUGACCAGCAAAGCGACUACUCUACGAGCCGAUGACCACAGGUCCAGUCCAAAUUGCGUCGUCAAGUGAAAUGAAUCUCUGCAACUCUUAUUAGUAUUUUUAAUCAUACGUUUUCUACGUAGUUCGACCUCUUCAGACAAGACAAGGCUCCGCGACUUCUCUACACUCGGUGGCUUCAGAUGAAUUCCAGUUGCUCUGGCGGCAAACGUGAAGUGUCACAUUAGAAAAACAUCAUUUGCUUUAGUGUGGCAAGCGCAGAAGUCGCAGCUACGACAUAUUCGUCGCGAGCAGCUGGGAAGGCUUUUGUGGAUGGCUGCUUUUUACGAACACUUUUGAAGCGAAUAAAGUCUACCCGCAAUCUGUU